rnacentral:misc_RNA from 1 species
AAGUCGUAACAAGGUUUCCGUAGGUGAACCUGCGGAAGGAUCAUUACCGAGUUAGGGUGUCAACUCUUUUGCGCCCGACCUCCAACCCUUUGUCUACUUAACCAAACGUUGCUUCGGCAGGCCCGCCGGACUGGCUUAACAGCGGUCCGGCCGCCGGGGGUCGAGAGACCCCGGGCCCGCGCCUGUCGAUGGCCCCCCUAAAACUACUGCCGAAACGUGUCGUCUGAGUCUUUAUGAUUUAAAAAUCAAAAACAAAACUUUCAACAACGGAUCUCUUGGUUCUG